rnacentral:rRNA from 1 species
CAGCAGCCACGGUAAUACGUAGGGUGCGAGCGUUAAUCGGAAUUACUGGGCGUAAAGCGUGCGCAGGCGGUUUUGUAAGACAGGCGUGAAAUCCCCGGGCUCAACCUGGGAAUGGCGCUUGUGACUGCAAAGCUAGAGUGCGGCAGAGGGGGAUGGAAUUCCGCGUGUAGCAGUGAAAUGCGUAGAUAUGCGGAGGAACACCGAUGGCGAAGGCAAUCCCCUGGGCCUGCACUGACGCUCAUGCACGAAAGCGCGGGGAGCAAACAGGAUUAGAUACCCCCGUAGUCCCUGUCUCUUAUAC